rnacentral:rRNA from 1 species
AGUGAACGCUGGCGGUAGGCCUAACACAUGCAAGUCGAACGGCAGCACAGUAAGAGCUUGCUCUUACGGGUGGCGAGUGGCGGACGGGUGGGGAAUACAUCGGAAUCUACUUUUUCGUGGGGGAUAACGUAGGGAAACUUACGCUAAUACCGCAUACGACCUACGGGUGAAAGCAGGGGAUCUUCGGACCUUGCGCGAUUGAAUGAGCCGAUGUCGGAUUAGCUAGUUGGCGGGGUAAAGGCCCACCAAGGCGACGAUCCGUAGCUGGUCUGAGAGGAUGAUCAGCCACACUGGAAGUGAGACACGGUCCAGGCUCCUACGGGAGGCAGCAGUGGGGAAUAUUGGACAAUGGGCGCAAGCCUGAUCCAGCCAUACCGCGUGGGUGAAGAAGGCCUUCGGGUUGUAAAGCCCUUUUGUUGGGAAAGAAAAGCAGCAGGUUAAUACCCCGCUGUUCUGACGGUACCCAAAGAAUAAGCACCGGCUAACUUCGUG